GUACAGUAUUAUUGUUAUUUAUUUAACUAGGCAAGUCAGUUAAGAACAAAUUCUUAUUUUCAAUGACAGCCUAGGAACAGUGGGUUAACUGCCUGUUCAGGGGCAGAAUGACAGAAUAGUACCUUGUCAGCUCGGAGGAUUUGAGCUUGCAACCUUCCGGUUACUAGUCCAACACUCUAACCACUAGGCUACCCUGCCGCCCUCCUAAGCCGACUAUUAUGAAGCUGUUGAAGCCUCACAAUCAUCAUGCCCUUGCUAUUGCUACAGUAACGGUCCCUGUCCCCACCAGUAGUGUAGCAGCAGCCCCACUUGGCCUUGACCUUCAGUCAUUUCAGCACAAACAAGACAGGAAUUCAGAGAAUGCGCUCGUGGAGCAAAGGCUCCGGCGGCUGCUGUGUUGGCCACUGGCCAUCUCCCCAGACGCAACUGAAGACCACCAGCAAGACGGGAGAAAAGAGCCCCAAUCCGACAACUUCCUGCAUGAAUGUGUAUAGCCUCGGCGCACGCAGGCAAAACAGGAUGCAUGUUGAAAAAUAACAAGAGGCAGUGGAGGCUGGAGGACAGAAAAGUGGUCCGGGAAGUGGGAAGUGGUCCGUACGAAUGGAUAGGAGUUAAUGACGCUGCUGUUGAGUGGGUUUCCUUAGAAAUAGAACCAUUAGAACCAUGGAAAUUUGACUACAUCGUCAUGGGUGGUACACUCAAUAUGGCCGCCCACCCACCCAUCAUGAAAUGUUGACUUGAAAGUGGAUAUCCAUUAGAGUAAUACAAUUUCUAUGAUUUCAGCUACUUGGUUGGAAUGCUCUGAGAUGAAAGAAAUAUACCACGUGAAUGUGACGUUCAAGGGUGGAAACAAGGGACCGAGUAGGCGUUUGUUCUCUGAUCCACUGAGAUACUUUGCUGCUUGUUCCAGACAUAAGGGGCUCACUUUCUUUUCCACCUCUGCUGAAACAACCCGCUCCCGAGUGGUGCCGUGCUCCAAGGCACUGCAUCUCAGUGCUAGAGGCGUCACUACAGACCCUGGUUCAAUUCCAGGCUGUAUCACAACCAGCUGUUAUUGGGAGUCCCAUAGGGCGGCACACGAUUGGCCCAGCUUUGCCUGGAUUAUGGUUUGGCCUGUGUAGCCUGUCAUUGUCAAUAAGAAUUUGUUCUUAACUGACUUUCCUAGUUAAAUAAAUUCAAAUAAAAACAGUCAGAAAAAGGAAGCUGGAGACUUGCUCUCUCUAGGAGGGGGACUACGGGAAAGAGUUUUUACCUGUCUCUAUCCUGUCACUGCAGAGGGGGCCUAAAAUAGGAUUGGAAGAAAAACUGGGAAGCGGUCUCUUCCUGUUGACUCGUUUCCUGUCAGUGAUAGAGGGCAACUCGGUACCAUGCACCAGCCCAGCCAUCUACUCUGGCCCUAUAGACCCACAGACAUGGCAGAUGAUCAUGGGCCAUCCUGUGACCUAGUACAACAUCCUUUGACAUCAGUAUUGGGCCUAUGACAUCACACUACAUCCCCCAUGUCCUCUUUUGUGUGGUCAUCUUAUGACAUGAACCGGUAGGUCCCGUGACAUCAUGUAUCACCCAGCUUUGUUGGAAAUCGAUGGACAUCAACGAUCAGCCUGUGACAGAAAAUGAUUUAAGUGGAAUUAUUAUGCAUUGCCACAAUACAGAUACCUAUGCUGAAAAUCCGAGCCUUGCAUAUUUCUGUUCUACUUUGCCACUAUGUCCUUGGUAACAGCUUAAAUGGGCAAAGUGUCAAAGUGAAAGUGGUUCUUCUGAAUAAAGGCCAAAAGAUGAACAAUUAUUAACCCUGCGUCACUGUGUGGCUCCCGGUUUCCGUCUGUUAACAAUAAAAUGACCAUACAGUUAAUUUAUUAUACUGGUUCUUGAGAACAAAGGAAAUCACAAGCAGGUAUAGUAACCGCUAUGUAGAGUAAAUCAUUCCCUCGUAGCUCGCAGGGUGGAUAUGUUCAGUAAGUGGAUUACUGCUCCACUGCUCCUCAGUUGGCAUCAAUCUGACAUUUCCAUAUUUCCACGUGCCUUAAGUCUGGGAACCAGUGAACAGGAUGAGUGACAGUGGACGGAGGGAGAACCUCCACUCUCACCCUAGGGUCCAUAAUCUGAUUGUUGUAAUUGAACACAAGGGAUUUGCGACAGUGGCCAUGUGUCCAGAGCUUUAGUUAGGAUCCCAGCUAAGGAUAACCUCCGUUCUCACAGAAACAGUCUGUAGAGCCACAUACUGAUGUUGGUCUUGAGUGGGCACAGUAUGUAGACAAUGACAUACAACACUAGGUGAUCAUCUCCAGGUAUCACUCAUUGAUGCAACUCUUGUCGGUAGAAGCUUUCAGGUCUGAGCCAUUGGAACAUUAUACUGCACUGCCCCUUUCUGUGGCCUACUUAUACACUGAGUGUACAAAACAUUAGGAACACCUGCUCUUUCCAUGACAUAAACUGACUAGGUGAAURCAGGUGAAAGCUAUGAUCCCUCUUGACGUCACUUGUAAAUCCACUUCAAUCAUGGUAUACGAAGGGGAGGAGACAGGUUAAAGAAGGAUUUGUAAGCCUUGAGACAAUUGACACAUGGAUUGUGUAUGAGUGCCAUUCAGAGGGUCAAUGUGUAGGACAAAAGAUUUAAGUGCCGUUGAACGGGGUAGUACGUGCCAGGCGCACCGGUUUCUGUGUGUCAAGAACUGCAACGGUGCUGUGCUUUUCACGCCUCAACAGUUUUCCGUGUAUGAAGAAUGGUCCACCGCCCAAAGGACAUCCAGCCAACUUGACACAACUGUGCAAAGCAUUGGAGUCGACAUGGGCCAGCAUCCCUGUGGAACGCUUGUGACACCUUGUCCAUGCCCCAAUGAAUUGAGGCUGUUCUGAGGGCAAAAGGGGUUGCAACUCAAUGUUAAUAGAUGUCCCUUAUGUUUUGUACACUCAGUGUACAUUGACAGGUGCCCAUGCUUUUAUUUUUCCUUUUUAUUUUUAUAUCCUUAUGAACCCUAUCAUUAUCAAUAUUGACCUAAUCUAAUGAGAUAAAAGGCUAAAAGGAAAGGUCAGAUGAAAUAUGUACCGCGUGUCAAUCAUAGCAAUGUAUGUGUUUGCUGCUGUUGAAAUCCCAUUAAUCCAAAAAGCAUUGGAUUCUAGAAAAAUAGCGGUCUGUAUUGAGGAACACUGAAUUGAACCUGCAUGCGCUCUUUAAAGAAACAAUUACACACGGUUGUUGAUACAGCAACAUUCCUUAUCGCUGCUUUGUUUGGUCAUUCCGUACUCCAAGCAAUCUCUUAUUGCAAUGGCACUGCUAUCGAAGGUGUAACCCGGGGUUUUGUUUAAAUAUCUCAGUAGUGUUCGCAUGCAGCCAUGAGACCCUCUAUGUGUGGGAAUGUUGUUUGCAAACUUUGUAUCUACAGGUCUGUUGAUUUGAUAAGAUUUUAUUUUUCAAAUAAGGCCUAACACAUGAAAUGGUGUAACAGAUUUUAUUGAACUAUUCAAUUAGUAUUGCACCAAUCAUUUUUAGCUUCUCGGUCUUUAUGAACCCUCUGAACACAGAUGUCACGACUUGGCCCUUUUGCGUGUAUAUCGUGGCUCUUCCACCUCAGGUGUUACAACAGUCAUAAAUUCCUGGUAGAAACUCUCUUUUCUGCCAUGGAGUAUGGGGGGAAAGAAAACUCUGGAUGAACAAAGAGCUUCUCUUGCCUAAUCCCCAAAAUGGGAAAAUUAAACAAUAUUUCUAUUUUUGAGAAUGUGGGAAUGGUCCGUGGACACUUAAGGGACAGUCAUGUCGAGUGUGCUUCAUUUGGUGAUCUCAUGAAGGACAGGAAACACACACAGCUGUAUCUCUUAAAGUGGACAUUUCCCAGCAGUCAGGUUUAUAUCUGAAUGUUGUAUAAGAUGAAUGAAUAAAUAUAAGAAUACUUUUGAAAAGAUAACAAUGUGAUUUAGUCUUCUAAAUGAGAAUUGGUUGUUUUAUGGUAACUUAUGCACAGUCAGUCGCCACACCCAGGUGUGCACAAACAUGAUGAGACGGCCCCUUUUCUACCCAAGUAUAAAAGCCACCGUGACGCAAUUCACACCAGACCACGCAAACCCCGGUGUAAGCUAAGGUUGCAAAUAGUUGAAUUUCUAAGACCAGACAGCGUGAGGUGGUGGCUACACGGCUGACACAUGGUUUAAAACUACAAGACCAGAAAAGUAUGGAGCUAACGCUCCAUGUUGAAAUGGUUAAGAACUACAACUCCUCCAAAGGACAAGACCAGAGAACGUGUAGAUCAUUCCCACGUUGAAAUGACGAAGAAAUCAACAAACUAAAGAAUAAUUAUUCAGACUGCAGCUGUUUAAAUCCUUUAGUCUGGUAAACACAUCUGAUUCUAAGGACAAUUCCAGAUGGUUCUCUGAAGUAUCCAAUCUAACUACGACAGACUGAAUAGGGACGGUGAUGGACCAG
ensembl:lncRNA